GGGCAAGGUUCGUCCACCCAGGGUUAGUCAGGACCUAAGGCGAGGCUGAAAAGCGUAGUCGAUGGACAACAGGUUGAUAUUCCUGUACCAGUUAAUUAGUGAUGGAGUGACGAAGAAGGAUAGUAUAACCCGGGUGCUGGAUGUCCCGGGCUAAGCACAAAGAUGGCAAUGUUGGCAAAUCCGCAUUGUAUUAACAUUGAAGUGUGAAAAUAGGGGAGUGAACGGUUCGCCUAGUAACGAAGUAUAUGACUCCAU
rnacentral:rRNA from 1 species